UGAUUAUUUGAGUAGAAAAUUUUGUGUUAUAUGUCGAAUGUAUACGAUGAGGCUUAGAAUGUAAGGAAAUGAAGAAUAAUUUAUAAUUAUGUCACCGAGACGAAAACGAAAACUAGCCGCGGAAGAUCAACCAGAUAAUUGAAUGUCGAACGCCAAAGACUUUAAGGCAAUCCUAUUGCUAGGGUAUAGAGGAUUAAGUGACUCAGUAGAAGCGUUUAUGAUAGUUAGGAUAACGGAAAGGGCAAAAGACAAAUUUUAUCACCUAUACGAUAAAAGGAAAAUGAGAUAAAGAAAAAGUUUGUGUGCUUUGUGUGAGGGCAGAAGAGACAUAUCUCUUCUAAUUGUCUCAAUUCAAUGAUGUAUAACGAAUGUUUUAUUUAUGAAUCAAUGGAGUAUAAGAUGAAAGAUUAUAAGGUGAAAGAUUAUUCAAGAAGGAGAAGUGAGAUAAGGAAUGCGAAUACGAGAAAUGACAACAAGAUAUACGCGACAAUGAAAUAAACCGUAAGUGUCUUCAUUAUGGUCGUUCAAGAUAUCGUAGCAGUUGAGGAUACGGUGGCAGCUGGAAACAGAACUCCAGGUGCUAUUUGAAUAACUUAUGUGUCUUAUAUGAUUUUCNNN
rnacentral:lncRNA from 1 species